GAUUAAGUUAUUAAGGGCGCACGGUGGAUGCCUUGGCACUAGAAGCCGAUGAAGGACGUUACUAACGACGAUAUGCUUUGGGGAGCUGUAAGUAAGCUUUGAUCCAGAGAUUUCCGAAUGGGGAAACCCAGCAUGAGUUAUGUCAUGUUAUCGAUAUGUGAAUACAUAGCAUAUCAGAAGGCACACCCGGAGAACUGAAACAUCUUAGUACCCGGAGGAAGAGAAAGAAAAUUCGAUUCCCUUAGUAGCGGCGAGCGAAACGGGAAGAGCCCAAACCAAAAAGCUUGCUUGUUGGGGUUGUAGGACACUCUAUACGGAGUUACAAAGGACGACAUUAGACGAAUCAUCUGGAAAGAUGAAUCAAAGAAGGUAAUAAUCCUGUAGUCGAAAAUGUUGUCUCUCUUGAGUGGAUCCUGAGUACGACGGAGCACGUGAAAUUCCGUCGGAAUCUGGGAGGACCAUCUCCUAAGGCUAAAUACUCUCUAGUGACCGAUAGUGAACCAGUACCGUGAGGGAAAGGUGAAAAGCACCCCGGAAGGGGAGUGAAAUAGAACCUGAAACCGUGUGCUUACAAGUAGUCAGAGCCCGUUAAUGGGUGAUGGCGUGCCUUUUGUAGAAUGAACCGGCGAGUUACGAUUUGAUGCAAGGUUAAGCAGUAAAUGUGGAGCCGUAGCGAAAGCGAGUCUGAAUAGGGCGUUUAGUAUUUGGUCGUAGACCCGAAACCAGGUGAUCUACCCUUGGUCAGGUUGAAGUUCAGGUAACACUGAAUGGAGGACCGAACCGACUUACGUUGAAAAGUGAGCGGAUGAACUGAGGGUAGCGGAGAAAUUCCAAUCGAACCUGGAGAUAGCUGGUUCUCUCCGAAAUAGCUUUAGGGCUAGCCUCAAGUGAUGAUUAUUGGAGGUAGAGCACUGUUUGGACGAGGGGCCCCUCUCGGGUUACCGAAUUCAGACAAACUCCGAAUGCCAAUUAAUUUAACUUGGGAGUCAGAACAUGGGUGAUAAGGUCCGUGUUCGAAAGGGAAACAGCCCAGACCACCAGCUAAGGUCCCAAAAUAUAUGUUAAGUGGAAAAGGAUGUGGCGUUGCCCAGACAACUAGGAUGUUGGCUUAGAAGCAGCCAUCAUUUAAAGAGUGCGUAAUAGCUCACUAGUCGAGUGACACUGCGCCGAAAAUGUACCGGGGCUAAACAUAUUACCGAAGCUGUGGAUUGUCCUUUGGACAAUGGUAGGAGAGCGUUCUAAGGGCGUUGAAGCAUGAUCGUAAGGACAUGUGGAGCGCUUAGAAGUGAGAAUGCCGGUGUGAGUAGCGAAAGACGGGUGAGAAUCCCGUCCACCGAUUGACUAAGGUUUCCAGAGGAAGGCUCGUCCGCUCUGGGUUAGUCGGGUCCUAAGCUGAGGCCGACAGGCGUAGGCGAUGGAUAACAGGUUGAUAUUCCUGUACCACCUAUAAUCGUUUUAAUCGAUGGGGGGACGCAGUAGGAUAGGCGAAGCGUGCGAUUGGAUUGCACGUCUAAGCAGUAAGGCUGAGUAUUAGGCAAAUCCGGUACUCGUUAAGGCUGAGC
rnacentral:rRNA from 1 species